CCUACGGGAGGCAGCAGUAGGGAAUCUUUCACAAUGGGCGAAAGCCUGAUGGAGCAACGCCGCGUGCAGGAUGAAGUCCCUCGGUUUGUCAACUUCUUUCAUCAGCGAGAAAUAUGACGGUAACUUACUACUAAGGCUCGGCUAACUACGUGCCAGCAGCCGCGGUCAUACGUAGGAUGCGAGCGUUAUCCGGAGUGACUGGGUGUAAAGAGUUCCGUAGGUGGGAUGAAAAGGAGCUGUUGAAAUCUGGUGGCUCAAACAUUCAGACUAUUAGCUAAACUGUUAGGCUCGAGUGCGGUAGGGGUAAGCGGAAUUUCUAGUGUAGGAGUGAAAUCCGUAGAUAUUAGGAGGAACACCGGUGGCGAAGGCAGGUUACUGGAACGGAACUGACGUUGAGGCUCGAAAGCGUAGGGAGCAAACAGGAUUAGAUACCCUUGUAGGC
rnacentral:rRNA from 1 species